rnacentral:rRNA from 1 species
GGGCGUUAAGUUGCAGGGUAUAGACCCGAAACCCGGUGAUCUAGCCAUGGGCAGGUUGAAGGUUGGGUAACACUAACUGGAGGACCGAACCGACUAAUGUUGAAAAAUUAGCGGAUGACCUGUGGCUGGGGGUGAAAGGCCAAUCAAACCGGGAGAUAGCUGGUUCUCCCCGAAAGCUAUUUAGGUAGCGCCUCGUGAAUUCAUCUCCGGGGGUAGAGCACUGUUUCGGCUAGGGGGCCAUCCCGGCUUACCAACCCGAUGCAAACUGCGAAUACCGGAGAAUGUUAUCACGGGAGACACACGGCGGGUGCUAACGUCCGUCGUGAAGAGGGAAACAACCCAGACCGCCAGCUAAGGUCCCAAAGUCAUGGUUAAGUGGGAAACGAUGUGGGAAGGCCCAGACAGCCAGGAUGUUGGCUUAGAAGCAGCCAUCAUUUAAAGAAAGCGUAAUAGCUCACUGGUCGAGUCGGCCUGCGCGGAAGAUGUAACGGGGCUAAACCAUGCACCGAAGCUGCGGCAGCGACGCUGAUGCGUUGUUGGGUAGGGGAGCGUUCUGUAAGCCUGCGAAGGUGGCCUGUGAGGGUUGCUGGAGGUAUCAGAAGUGCGAAUGCUGACAUAAGUAACGAUAAAGCGGGUGAAAAGCCCGCUCGCCGGAAGACCAAGGGUUCCUGUCCAACGUUAAUCGGGGCAGGGUGAGUCGACCCCUAAGGCGAGGCCGAAAGGCGUAGUCGAUGGGAAACGGGUUAAUAUUCCCGUACUUGGUGUUACUGCGAAGGGGGGACGGAGAAGGCUAUGUUGGCCGGGCGACGGUUGUCCCGGUUUAAGCGUGUAGGUGUGUGUUCCAGGUAAAUCCGGUUCACUUUAACACUGAGGCGUGAUGACGAGGCACUACGGUGCUGAAGCAACAAAUGCCCUGCUUCCAGGAAAAGCCUCUAAGCAUCAGGUAACAUCAAAUCGUACCCCAAACCGACACAGGUGGUCAGGUAGAGAAUACCAAGGCGCUUGAGAGAACUCGGGUGAAGGAACUAGGCAAAAUGGUGCCGUAACUUCGGGAGAAGGCACGCUGACACGUAGGUGAAGUGAUUUACUCAUGGAGCUGAAGUCAGUCGAAGAUACCAGCUGGCUGCAACUGUUUAUUAAAAACACAGCACUGUGCAAACACGAAAGUGGACGUAUACGGUGUGACGCCUGCCCGGUGCCGGAAGGUUAAUUGAUGGGGUCAGCGCAAGCGAAGCUCCUGAUCGAAGCCCCGGUAAACGGCGGCCGUAACUAUAACGGUCCUAAGGUAGCGAAAUUCCUUGUCGGGUAAGUUCCGACCUGCACGAAUGGCGUAAUGAUGGCCAGGCUGUCUCCACCCGAGACUCAGUGAAAUUGAACUCGCUGUGAAGAUGCAGUGUACCCGCGGCAAGACGGAAAGACCCCGUGAACCUUUACUAUAGCUUGACACUGAACAUUGAGCCUUGAUGUGUAGGAUAGGUGGGAGGCUUUGAAGUGUGGACGCCAGUCUGCAUGGAGCCGGCCUUGAAAUACCACCCUUUAAUGUUUGAUGUUCUAACGUGGACCCGUGAUCCGGGUUGCGGACAGUGUCUGGUGGGUAGUUUGACUGGGGCGGUCUCCUCCUAAAGAGUAACGGAGGAGCACGAAGGUUGGCUAAUCCUGGUCGGACAUCAGGAGGUUAGUGCAAUGGCAUAAGCCAGCUUGACUGCGAGCGUGACGGCGCGAGCAGGUGCGAAAGCAGGUCAUAGUGAUCCGGUGGUUCUGAAUGGAAGGGCCAUCGCUCAACGGAUAAAAGGUACUCCGGGGAUAACAGGCUGAUACCGCCCAAGAGUUCAUAUCGACGGCGGUGUUUGGCACCUCGAUGUCGGCUCAUCACAUCCUGGGGCUGAAGUAGGUCCCAAGGGUAUGGCUGUUCGCCAUUUAAAGUGGUACGCGAGCUGGGUUUAGAACGUCGUGAGACAGUUCGGUCCCUAUCUGCCGUGGGCGCUGGAGAACUGAGGGGGGCUGCUCCUAGUACGAGAGGACCGGAGUGGACGCAUCACUGGUGUUCGGGUUGUCAUGCCAAUGGCACUGCCCGGUAGCUAAAUGCGGAAGAGAUAAGUGCUGAAAGCAUCUAAGCACGAAACUUGCCCCGAGAUGAGUUCUCCCUGAGACUUAGAGUCUCCUGAAGGAACGUUGAAGACGACGACGUUGAUAG